rfam:Ornithorhynchus anatinus chromosome 2, whole genome shotgun sequence.
ACCCCCUGAGGAUCUCACUUGGAGAGUUUCCGGUACUCUAUCGGUCUCGGCUACGGGAGGGAGAGUCAAGCAGAGGCCUACCCAUUCCAUUCCUAGCUUGGACAGUGGCUAGCGAAUGGAAGGCCGUCCGCUACAAGU